UUCCGGUUGAUCCUGCCGGAGGCUACCGCUAUUGGAGUUCGAUUAAGCCAUGCGAGUCGCGAGAAUUAGAUUCUCGGCGUACCGCUCAGUAACACGUGGGUAACCUGCCCUAUGCUGGAUAAUAACCUCGGGAAACUGAGAAUAAUGAUCUAUAGUUCACUACGCCUGGAACGGUGAGUGGAUGAAAGCUCCGGCGGCAUAGGAUGGGCCUGCGGCGUAUCAGGUUGUAGGGGGUGUAACGUACCCUCUAGCCCUCUACGCGUACGGGUGUUGAGAGACAUCGCCCGGAGAUGGAUUCUGAGACACGAAUCCAGACCCUACGGGGUGCAGCAGGCGCGAAAACUUGGCAAUGCGAGAAAUCGUGACCAGGGAACUCCAAGUGCAUCGGGUAAGACCGAUGCUUUUCUAGACUCUAAAAAGGUCUUGGAAUAAGAGGUGGGUAAGGACGGUGCCAGCCGCCGCGGUAAUACCGGCGCCUCAAGUGGUAGUCGCUUUUAUUGGGCCUAAAACGUCCGUAGCCGGUCUGAUACAUUCGUGGGUAAAUCAACCAGCUUAACUGGUUGAAUUCUGCGAGGACGGUCAGACUUGGGACCGGGAGAGGUGUGGGGUACGCUCAGGGUAGGGGUAAAAUCCUGUCAUCCUGAGCGGACCACCUGUUGCGAAGGCGCCACACUAGAACGGAUCCGACGGUCAGGGACGAAGCCUAGGGGCACGAACCGGAUUAGAUACCCGGGUAGUCCUAGGUGUAAACGCUGUGGACUUGAUGUUGGGGGUGCUCCGAGCACUCUCAGUGUCGAAGCGAAGGUGAUAAGUCCACUGCCUGGGAAGUACGGUCGCAAGGCUGAAACUUAAAGGAAUUGGCGGGGGAGCACCGCAACCUGAGGAUUGUGCGGUUUAAUUGGAUUCAACGCCGG
rnacentral:rRNA from 1 species